AUUGAACGCUGGCGGCAGGCCUAACACAUGCAAGUCGAGCGGCAGCACAGAGGAACUUGUUCCUUGGGUGGCGAGCGGCGGACGGGUGAGUAAUGCCUAGGAAAUUGCCCUGAUGUGGGGGAUAACCAUUGGAAACGAUGGCUAAUACCGCAUGAUGCCUACGGGCCAAAGAGGGGGACCUUCGGGCCUCUCGCGUCAGGAUAUGCCUAGGUGGGAUUAGCUAGUUGGUGAGGUAAUGGCUCACCAAGGCGACGAUCCCUAGCUGGUCUGAGAGGAUGAUCAGCCACACUGGAACUGAGACACGGUCCAGACUCCUACGGGAGGCAGCAGUGGGGAAUAUUGCACAAUGGGCGCAAGCCUGAUGCAGCCAUGCCGCGUGUAUGAAGAAGGCCUUCGGGUUGUAAAGUACUUUCAGUCGUGAGGAAGGUGGUGUUGUUAAUAGCAGCAUCAUUUGACGUAGCGACAGAGGAAGCUCCAAA
rnacentral:rRNA from 1 species